rnacentral:rRNA from 1 species
GACGAACGCUGGCGGCGUGCUUAACACAUGCAAGUCGAACGAAGUGGCGAACGGGUGAGUAACGCGUAAUCAACCCGCCCUUUAGAGGGGGAUAACAGUUGGAAACGACUGCUAACACCGCAUACUGACUGAGGGGUUUGUGUCUGAUUAGUUAGUUGGAGGGGUAACGGCGCACCAAGGCGAUGAGCAGUAGCCGGGCUGAGAGGAUGAGCGACGACAUUGGGACUGAGACACGGCCCGGACUCCUACGGAAUGCAGCGGUGGGGAAUCUUCCGCAAUAGACGACAGUCUGACGGAGCAACACGGCGUGAGUGAUGACGGCCUUCGGGUUGUAAAGCUCUGUUAAUCGGGACGCGGUACCGGAAUAGAAAGCCACGGCUAACUACGUGCCAGCAGCCGCGGUAAUUC